AUGUUCUCUUUUUGUUCAGUGUGGCUUGAUUCAUUGAGUCGUCUUAAUUUUGCAGUAUCAUGCAUAUUUGAUCCCCUCCCCUCUGCCCUCAAACUCAGUAUAAAUCCUCCUGAGCCCAGAUGGCCAGAUGCCACAGUACAUAGGAUUGCCCACAGUUUGCACUGCAUCAUCAUCAUUGACUGGAGCGUGUCGCUCAGUGUAUACGAUCCGGAGAUAUUUACACACAUUAAUCACUCACGCUCGCUCAGCCUGUCCCAUAAUGCAUCUGGGGUCUAUCAAUAUUACUUCUUUCUUUCUUUCUUUCUUUCUUUCUUUCUUUCUUUCUUUCUUUCUUUAUUUGUUUUUUCAAAUCUCCAUGCUGAAAAAUAAUGUGAUGAGAAGUCUGGAAGGGAAAUGUUUACUCCGUUAGCCACCAGGGAUUAUAGUUGUACAUUUAUAGGCUCUAGAUCACUGGAAUGAUAUAUAUGGCUUUAAGUGGCAUUGAUAUAUCUAUAUAUAAUAUAUAUAAAUAUAUAUUGAUAUUUGUCCAGGAUUAAGAAAAUUCAUGUACUUUAAUUACUUUAAAGCUUACAUUGUGUAUAGCACGUAUGCAAGUCCCAUUUUCAUCAUGUUUGAUGUAAUUUUGUAGCAGUGGUUUGAUACUAAUAAAUGGCAGUCGAUGAUGGAAUUGUAGACUGUGUUUGUGUUGAUACUGAUGUGACCUUUACAGCCGCUCUCGACAAACACUGUCACGCUUUCAUAUGUGUUCAAGAGAAAGCGGUUUGACUGAACAUACUCACUCUCCAGCCCGCUCUGGAAUAAGAUAAUUUAUUCAUGUUACAGACUAAAAAUAUCCGAGUCAUCCGUUUAAUGAGCAGAUCCCAAGUGAUUUCCUUUGUGUGGCCCAUGUGUCGCGGCAAAACAUCUCCCAGUUUAUAUAAAAAAUAAAACACUUUGAUUUAUUGGUUUUUAAAUUUGCAUUUAAUGGAAAAUCUUCUCACGCCGAGUCGUGUCCUGUGACAGUUGAUUGCAAUCAAAAAACACGUGUGGACUUCUUAUCCUCUGUGGCAGGACAGCGAUAAGAGGAAAGCACAGACGAAGCAUAAAAACAACCUGUUUACCUUUACCAUCUGGAUUAUGACAUUAUUGUUCUUUUUCUUAUUUUGUUUUAUUGGACUGAGACAUAGAGUCUAAAGGCAUCCACAGGAAGAAAGAAGAACAGGAAGAGUAAACUUACAGAGACGAUAAACAAAGAAAACAAAAACACAAAAAGAAUUAAGACAGAAAUUGUCAUUGUUCACAUUCCUAAAACAACCUGUUUACAUUUUGUGAAUUAUUGUUAUUAUGAGUAGUAGUAGUAUUCGUUUUAUUACAUUAAGUCUAAGGGCAUCCACAGAAACUGAUAUGAGACAUUUUAGCCAGGAGGAAAAGGAAGAAUCAACCAACAGAGACGAAAACCCAACAAAGAAACAGAAAAAGAAACCGCCCUCGUGAGCACACGAGGCAGACAUUGUUUUUUGUUCAUCUGUCCAAAACAACCUGGUGGAAACUUUACAUUUACCUGUGUGAGUUUUGACAUCAUCAGCGGUGUUGGCUGGCAUCACUUUUUAAAGUUACAUUUCAAGAUCACUGCCCUUUUUUUUUAACUCACUCCUGAGAAACUAACUCCUGAGAGCACUUCUCCGUUUUCGAGAGGUGAAAACUGUGAUUCUUCGUGCAUGCUGCUGAACAUUUUCUCCAGAUGUUGUUCGCCUCCCUUUAAAUGCACUGACUCAGUGGCCAUAUUCUACGGCCAGCAAUCUGUAGCUCUGCGGGAUAAUAAAAACAGGAAUGACAGGUGCAAUAUCCUCCUCAACGCUCUUUAAUAAUCUUCUGUUUGACUAGAAAAACAGAACAGACUAGGUCGGAGCAGGAGCGCACACGGCCUAACACGUUCACACAGCGUGUCAUUUUUUGCAAUUCAACUGCACUGAAAAAGGUUGCAUAAUUUCCGAGAUAGCAAACAGAAACCGAGGGGUACGUGACAGGUAGCGAACUUGAGCCGAGACACGCCGCUUUAGCAGCUGCCUGUGUGAAGACAAUCAUGUUGCAGCGUGCGGCUGAUGAACCAGAAGCUGCCCUCUUCAGCCGUCACCUGCGCACCGACACAAGAUAUCUCAGGGUGACUGCGUACCGCCUGCCGAGAAGUCGGAGCGAAACCGAAAUUCAGUCAUGGUUUUUCUUUUCUUUUUUUUGUUCCACAUUGAAAAUGCAACUAAGUAACAUAUAACUCGAAUUGCAAAUGUAACACGGUGCAUCACUUGUUACAGCAAAUAAGUGAUCCGGGUACCAUAACAUGAAUCACCGCCCUGCUGAAAAAAACAGCAUAGACCAGCACUAAAACCAGCACCAAAACACAACGUAUGCUGGUCUUGAUGGUGACCAGUCACUAGCAAGACCAGCAUAUGUUGUGUUUUGGUGCUGGUCUCUGCUGUUUUUUUCAGCAAGGUGGUGCAACAGUCACAUGUUCGGGUCCUGGGAGGUACUGAUAAAUAAUGUGCCUACAGAGGCUUUAGAUCAGGAGGCAUUCAUAUGUGACAUGUAGGAAAACAGACUAACUAAGUGAUUAAUCCCUCAACAGUAUUCCUUACCUUGACAUCCUGCGCUGUCUUCAGUCGCGAGCCGACCCCGAUGCACCGUUUCACCCUGACGGCCCUUUUUUUCAUCUCGCUUAUCUUCAAGUCCGUCACAGCAACCAUGAGAAGUUUGAUACGGUGACAAAUGGUUAAAUCCAGAGGCUGAAUUAUUGACUGGAACCACAAUGUGAGGACAGAAUUCCUCAGGGACGAGAGUUGAGUGGAAGCUGCUCCACACUCUAAUUGCC
ensembl:lncRNA